GGGGGUGUAGCUCAUUUGGCAGAGCGCGUCAUUAGCAUCUUCUUCCGUCCAUAGGUUCUUUGACGAGGUACUGGGUUCAAUUCCCAGCUCCUCCA
rnacentral:tRNA from 1 species